rnacentral:rRNA from 1 species
UACGUAGGGUGCAAGCGUUAAUCGGAAUUACUGGGCGUAAAGCGUGCGCAGGCGGUUUUGUAAGUCUGUCGUGAAAGCCCCGGGCUCAACCUGGGAAUUGCGAUGGAGACUGCAAGGCUUGAAUCUGGCAGAGGGGGGUAGAAUUCCACGUGUAGCAGUGAAAUGCGUAGAGAUGCGGAGGAACACCGAUGGCGAAGGCAGCCCCCUGGGUCAAGAUUGACGCUCAUGCACGAAAGCGUGGGGAGCAAACAGG